rnacentral:rRNA from 1 species
AUUGAACGCUGGCGGCAGGCCUAACACAUGCAAGUCGAGCGGAUGAAGGGAGCUUGCUCCUGGAUUCAGCGGCGGAGGGGUGAGUAAUGCCUAGGAAUCUGCCUGGUAGUGGGGGAUAACGUCCGGAAACGGGCGCUAAUACCGCAUACGUCCUGAGGGAGAAAGUGGGGGAUCUUCGGACCUCACGCUAUCAGAUGAGCCUAGGUCGGAUUGGCUAGUUGGUGGGGUAAAGGCCUACCAAGGCGACGAUCCGUAACUGGUCUGAGAGGAUGAUCAGUCACACUGGAACUGAGACACGGUCCAGACUCCUACGGGAGGCAGCAGUGGGGAAUAUUGGACAAUGGGCGAAAGCCUGAUCCAGCCAUGCCGCGUGUGUGAAGAAGGUCUUCGGAUUGUAAAGCACUUUAAGUUGGGAGGAAGGGCAGUAAGUUAAUACCUUGCUGUUUUGACGUUACCAACAGAAUAAGCACCGGCUAACUUCGUG